rnacentral:misc_RNA from 1 species
GAAAUGCGAUAAGUAGUGUGAAUUGCAGAAUUCAGUGAAUCAUCAAAUCUUUGAACGCACAUUGCGCUUCCUGGUAUUCCGGGGAGCAUGCCCGUUUCAGAAUCAUUUAAUUCUCAAACUUCGUCUCUUGGGACGUAAUGUUUGGAUGUGACAAGUCUGAUGAUAAUAUUAUCAGCAGUCUUGUUGAAAUUAAUUGUGCAUACCGGUAAAUCAUUCCGGAAGCUUCAACUGCAACAGAUUUAUCUAUUCUCUUGAAGCUUUUGUGUGGGUGGUUUGCGUUGGUUGUGCCUCACCUUAGUUCACAAAGUACUGGUUUGGUUCAAACUGUGCUUUGAUAACUUGGUCUGAAAUCGGGCAAGAAAACCCGCUGAACUUAA